rnacentral:hammerhead_ribozyme from 1 species
AUCCAACUGACGAGUCCGAAAUAGGACGAAACAUGCAU